CAGUAGGGAAGAAGCGAAAGUGACGGUACCUGCAGAAGAAGCGCCGGCUAACUACGUGCCAGCAGCCGCGGUAAUACGUAGGGCGCAAGCGUUAUCCGGAUUUAUUGGGCGUAAAGAGCUCGUAGGCGGUUUGUCGCGUCUGCCGUGAAAGUCCGAGGCUCAACCUCGGAUCUGCGGUGGGUACGGGCAGACUAGAGUGAUGUAGGGGAGACUGGAAUUCCUGGUGUAGCGGUGAAAUGCGCAGAUAUCAGGAGGAACACCGAUGGCGAAGGCAGGUCUCUGGGCAUUUACUGACGCUGAGGAGCGAAAGCAUGGGGAGCGAACAGGAUUAGAUACCCUGGUAGUCCAUGCCGUAAACGUUGGGCACUAGGUGUGGGGAACAUUCCACGUUUUCCGCGCCGUAGCUAACGCAUUAAGUGCCCCGCCUGGGGAGUACGGCCGCAAGGCUAAAACUCAAAGGAAUUGACGGGGGCCCGCACAAGCGGCGGAGCAUGCGGAUUAAUUCGAUGCAACGCGAAGAACCUUACCAAGGCUUGACAUGUGCCAGACCGCCUCAGAGAUGGGGUUUCCCUUCGGGGCUGGUUCACAGGUGGUGCAUGGUUGUCGUCAGCUCGUGUCGUGAGAUGUUGGGUUAAGUCCCGCAACGAGCGCAACCCUCGUUCCAUGUUGCCAGCACGUAAUGGUGGGGACUCAUGGGAGACUGCCGGGGUCAACUCGGAGGAAGGUGGGGAUGACGUCAAAUCAUCAUGCCCCUUAUGUCUUGGGCUUCACGCAUGCUACAAUGGCCGGUACAAUGGGUUGCGAUACUGUGAGGUGGAGCUAAUCCCUAAAAGCCGGUCUCAGUUCGGAUUGGGGUCUGCAACUCGACCCCAUGAAGUCGGAGUCGCUAGUAAUCGCAGAUCAGCAACGCUGCGGUGAAUACGUUCCCGGGCCUUGUACACACCGCCCGUCAAGUCACGAAAGUUGGUAACACCCGAAGC
rnacentral:rRNA from 1 species